GGGAGCUAGGCUAGCCAUGCAUGCCUCCGAAUAGAAGAGCAUUCUCUCUGAAUCUGCGAACGGCUCCGCAAACCAGUUGUAAACCAUAGCGAGCAUGUCUUUGGGCAAGCCGCAAGGUGAGCUCAGGGGCGAUAAGGAUAACCCUGGUAAUUCUGAGGCUAAUACAAGAACGUAAAACCUGGCUAACCAGCAAUGGGAGGUUGGGGGACGUGCGACAUAUGCAAAAGAUAAUCGGGAAUGGGUGCACGUUCAGACCGCCAUCCAAACGGUCGUGCUGCUUGCAGUGCGUCCGGGCGGCUCUCGCGUUGUGCUUCUGACCUAUCAACUAGAUGGCAGCGUAAGGGACAUGCUAUGGUGACAACGGGUACAGAAAC
rnacentral:rRNA from 1 species